rnacentral:rRNA from 1 species
UACGUAGGGCGCAAGCGUUGUCCGGAAUUAUUGGGCGUAAAGAGUUCGUAGGCGGUCUGUUGCGUCCGCUGUGAAAACCCAGGGCUUAACCCUGGGCUUGCAGUGGAUACGGGCAGACUAGAGGCAGGUAGGGGAGAAUGGAAUUCCCGGUGUAGCGGUGAAAUGCGCAGAUAUCGGGAGGACCACCCGUGGCGAAGGCGGCUCUCUGGGACGGUACUGACGCUGAGACGCGAAAGCGUGGGGAGCGAACAGG